rnacentral:rRNA from 1 species
GCUUUAGCCGGAAGAAAGGCGGAGGUGAAUACCCUCCGUGUUGACGGUACCGGCGGAAUAAGCACCGGCUAACUCCGUGCCAGCAGCCGCGGUAAUACGGAGGGUGCAAGCGUUAUCCGGAUUCACUGGGUUUAAAGGGUGCGUAGGCGGGCUUGUAAGUCAGUGGUGAAAGCCCGGGGCUUAACUCCGGAACUGCCGUUGAUACUGCAAGCCUUGAGUACAGUUGAGGUGGGCGGAAUACAUCAUGUAGUGGUGAAAUACUUAGAUAUGAUGUAGAACACCGAUUGCGAAGGCAGCUCACUAAAGUGUAACUGACGCUGAGGCACGAAAGCGUGGGGAUCAAACAGGAUUAGAUACCCUGGUAGUCCACGCCCUAAACGAUGUUCACUCGACAUUAGCGAUAUACUGUUAGUGUCUAAGCAAAAGCGUUAAGUGAACCACCUGGGGAGUACGUCCGCAAGGAUG